rnacentral:rRNA from 1 species
GAUGAACGCUGACAGAAUGCUUAACACAUGCAAGUCAACUUGAAUUUGGGUUUUUAACUUAGAUUUGGGUGGCGGACGGGUGAGUAACGCGUAAAGAACUUGCCUCACAGCUAGGGACAACAUUUAGAAAUGAAUGCUAAUACCUGAUAUUAUGAUUUUAAGGCAUCUUAGAAUUAUGAAAGCUAUAAGCACUGUGAGAGAGCUUUGCGUCCCAUUAGCUAGUUGGAGAGGUAACAGCUCACCAAGGCGAUGAUGGGUAGCCGGCCUGAGAGGGUGAACGGCCACAAGGGGACUGAGACACGGCCCUUACUCCUACGGGAGGCAGCAGUGGGGAAUAUUGGACAAUGGACCGAGAGUCUGAUCCAGCAAUUCUGUGUGCACGAUGAAGUUUUUCGGAAUGUAAAGUGCUUUCAGUUGGGAAGAAAAAAAUGACGGUACCAACAGAAGAAGUGACGGCUAAAUACGUGCCAGCAGCCGCGGUAAUACGUAUGUCACAAGCGUUAUCCGGAUUUAUUGGGCGUAAAGCGCGUCUAGGUGGUUAUGUAAGUCUGAUGUGAAAAUGCAGGGCUCAACUCUGUAUUGCGUUGGAAACUGUAUAACUAGAGUACUGGAGAGGUAAGCGGAACUACAAGUGUAGAGGUGAAAUUCGUAGAUAUUUGUAGGAAUGCCGAUGGGGAAGCCAGCUUACUGGACAGAUACUGACGCUAAAGCGCGAAAGCGUGGGUAGCAAACAGG